GGGAUGACGUCAAGUCAUCAUGGCCCUUACGACCAGGGCUACACACGUGCUACAAUGGCGCAUACAAAGAGAAGCGACCUCGCGAGAGCAAGCGGACCUCAUAAAGUGCGUCGUAGUCCGGAUUGGAGUCUGCAACUCGACUCCAUGAAGUCGGAAUCGCUAGUAAUCGUGGAUCAGAAUGCCACGGUGAAUACGUUCCCGGGCCUUGUACACACCGCCCGUCACACCAUGGGAGUGGGUUGCAAAAGAAGUAGGUAGCUUAACCUUCGGGAGGGCGCUUACCACUUUGUGAUUCAUGACUGGGGUGAAGUCGUAACAAGGUAACCGUAGGGGAACCUGCGGUUGGAUCACCUCCUU
rnacentral:rRNA from 1 species